rnacentral:rRNA from 1 species
UAAGGGGUCAGUGAAGCGAACCGGGUGAAACUGAAAACAUCUCAGUAGCUCGAGGAAAAGAAAUCAAACCGAGAUUCCCAAAGUAGUGGCGAGCGAAAUGGGACAAGCCUGCACGAUUUAGCAGAACGGAUAAGAGAACGGAUUGGAAACUCCGGCCAUAGAGGGUGAUAGCCCCGUAUUUGAAAUUCGAUUUGUGGAACUAAGCGUGCGACAAGUAGGGCGGGACACGUGUAAUCCUGUCUGAAGAUGGGGGGACCAUCCUCCAAGGCUAAAAUACUCGUGAUCGACCGAUAGUGAACCAGUACCGUGAGGGAAAGGCGAAAAGAACCCCGGGAGGGGAGUGAAAUAGAUCCUGAAACCGCAUGCAUACAAACAGUGGGAGCCUCGCAAGGGGUGACUGCGUACCUUUUGUAUAAUGGGUCAGCGACUUACGUUCAGUUGCGAGCUUAACCGAAUAGGGGAGGCGUAGCGAAAGCGAGUCUGAACAGGGCGUUCAGUAGCUGGGCGUAGACCCGAAACCGGAUGAUCUAUCCAUGGCCAGGUUGAAGGU